rnacentral:lncRNA from 1 species
AAUAUUUUUGCUCUGCUUAAACAUGAUUUUAUUUUAAUUAUGUUUGUCUAUUUACUUGCAGGACAUUGGAGAUGGUGGUUCUCUCAGAAUGGUUCACUUUGGUUUGGUGUAAAAAAAUGAACUUUUUUUUUUUUUUAACUUCAAAAAGAAAUCAGCCUUUUUCAUGACCUGAUUCAAUUAAAAUCUCCCCAUAUGGAUUUUUAAAAAGGAAAGAUGGUCUAUGUAACAUAGCAUAAUAGUAGCAAAGUGAUCCUAAAUAAAAGUCCUUAACAUACUUUAUUUUUAGUAAUAUACAAAUUUUGAAAAUGUUUUAAGCUGUACAUUAUUAGGUACUUCAAAAACAAUAUUUAAACCUUGUUCUCUAGUAUUUUAAAAAUUUUGUCAGCUGGUCUUACUUAUAUCACUAAUUUACAUUAUAUGUAAAAUAUUUAUUAAGCAAAAAUGUCAGCUCAAACCCAUUAGUAGUAGACAUUUCCCCUGUAUCUUUUGAAUCUUACUGCUAUGAGGCACUGACUGCCCCAUAAAACUCAGAGAUAUUAUCUUCCUCUGGAGCAAAGAGUAGGCAUGUUUACUAUCUAUUAUAAAAGAUUUGAGGCUCCUUAAGUUCCGAGUUCUUUCUCUUUAAAUAGCCCAGAGUGUGCUGGUGGCAUUUGGCCCUUUUCACAUUGCUAUAUGGUAAUAGAACUCAGGAAAUCAAUGCAAAUAUAAAUAUAUUUAAAAUGCUGGGCUGGGGCUGUAGCUCAGUGAUAGACCCUGGGUUUGAUCCUUAGCACCACAUAAAAUUAAGGUAUCGUGUUCAACUACAACUAAAAAAUAAAUACUAAAAAAAAAUAUUGAUACUCUGGGUACUAUUGUUAUGAUUAAUAAACUGUCCUUUGUUUCUAAUGCCAGGAGUCUUAUGCCUUUUACCAGCAGACAUGAAACAGUUCCAUAAUUUAUUAACUUGUAAGUAGGGUAAAAUUUUGGACCCUUCACAGUUCUUGAUACCUGUUCAUUAGCAUAUAAAAGUUUUCAAAUUGUAGAUAUCUGUAAUAAUCAACAUCUUGAAAUAUUGUGCAUGAAUUAUAAAAUUAGAUCUUCUUAAAAGCUACACUGAGGUUUUUAUACUUCAGAUUUUUCUUCUUACUUUCUAUGCAUCUAUACCUCUACUGGGGAAUAUGACAAAGGGAGUAAAAGAUUUUUCAAUUCACAACUCUCCUUAAAAAGUUUUAGGUAAUUUUUUGUUUGUUUUUGUCUGGGUUUUUCUUCGUUUUGUUUUUGGGUUUUUUGUUUUGUUUUGUUGGUAAUUUGUAAUGUGUGUGCCACAUUUUAAAUAGAGAUAAAAUGUCCAGGAAUGGUGAUAUGCAUGCACCAUGCUGUUGGGGAGGCUGAGGAAGCACAUUCACUUGAGCCCAGGAGUUCAUGACCAGCCUAGUCAACUUAGUGAGAUCCCAUAUCAAAACAACAUAAACAAAAAAGUUUCAGUUAUCAGCAAAUUUUAAUUUUCCACCCUCCUUUAUCACACAGAUAAAUAAAAGUCAAUUUUUAAAUUAAAUAUUAUAUUGAAAAAAAUAUAAUUUUGCCAAAGAAUACAUUUUCUCCAGACUUUCUACUAAAGUCAUUAACCUAAAACAAACUGCAUUUCCUGAUCUACAUAUCCUUUUGCUCAUUUGACCAUUGUCUUUUACAACUAUAUGGGAAGUGUGGUAGAAAAGUUCAGUACCAUUUCUAGGUUCUAUGUGAGGAGGCCAUAGCCUGUGCUAAUGAUGUAUUAAAGAAAAUAUAGUUAUGAAUACAUCUAUAUCGUUCUAUAUGAUAGUAUGAAGUAACCAUGUUUGCCAGUUAUUAAGUGAAAACUAAAAAAAACUUUUACUUAAAUUCUCCAUUUUUCCACCUUCACAUGAAACUAGAAAAAUGGACUCAAGUUAUUAAAAAAAACAAGUUUAGAUAGUUAACAAGAAUAUAUUAUGAAUAAUAAAUAAAUAUAUGAUUUUUCAACAAAAGUACCAAGACCAUUGAGUGGAGAAAGGAUAGUCUUUUCAAUGAACGGGGGGGGGGAAUGAACAUGCAAAAGAAUGAACCUGGACCCUUACAUAGUGUCAUAUACAAAAUCUAACUCAAAAUGGAUCCAAGACCCAAACAUAAGAUACAAAACUGUAAAGCUUUAGAAGAAAACACAACUUCAUUACAUUGCACUUAAAAAUUAUUUCUUGGAUAUGACAUAAAGCAUUCAACAAAGUAAAAACAGGUAAAUUGGAUUCACUGAAAUUAGUAAUAUCUGUGCAUUACAGGACACCAACAGAGUAAAAAGGAAGAAAAUAUGUUUAAAUCAUAUCUGGUAAGGACUUAGUAUCUAGAAAAUAUAAAGAAUUCCUACGGCUCCACUUAGGUUGAGAAAUACGUAUGAACAAAAAAAAAAACAAGUAACCAACUUGAGCAAAGAAUCUGAAUAAACAUUUCUCCAAAGAAGAUAUACAAAUGGCCAAGAAGACAGGAAAUGAUGCUCAACAUCACUAAUAUUUAGGAAAAGGAAAACCAAAACUACAAUAUACCACUUCAUACACAUUGGGAUGACUACUACAUUAAAAAAAAAAAAAAGACCUAGCAUAUAUGAGGCCCUGGGUUCACAAAUAAAAAAAAGAAAGAAACAAGAGAAUAUAGCAAGUAUUAACAAGAUAAAUUGAAAAACUUGUACAUUGGUGUUGGGAAUAUAAAAUGGUAUAGCCACUAUGGAAAAUAGUACAGUGAUUCCUCAAAAAAAUUAAAAAUAGAACCAGGGACAGUGGUGCAUACCUGUAACCACAGUGAUUCAGGAGGCUGAGGUAGGAGGAUUGCAAGUUUGAAGCCAGUCUUGCCAACUGUCUCAAAAUAAAAAAGGGCUAGGGAUGAAGCUCAGUGAUAUAGUGUUCCUUUGUUCAAUUCCCAUUACCCCUCCCCCCAAAAAAUAUUCAAAACAGAAUUGCCGUGUGAUCUCGCAAUUCAAGCAGGUAUGUAUGUACCCUUGUCAAUAGCAGUACUGUUAUUCACAAUAGCCAAAACACAGAAACAACCUAAACAUCAAUCAACAGAUAAAUGGAUAAACAAAAUAUAGUGUAUAUAUCCACACAAAUUACAAUACUCAGCCUUAAGAUAAUAUCUGACACAUGCUACAUCACCAAUAUACUUUGAAUACAUUGUGCUAAGUGAAAUAAGCCAGUCGUGAAAAGACAAACAUCAUAUAAUUCCACUAAUAUGAGGUAUCUAGAGUAGUCAAAUUCAUAGAAACAGGAAGUAGAACUGUGAUUGCCAGGGGCUGAGGGGAGAAAGAAACCAGGAGUUGUUUAAUGGGUAUACUGUUUUGGUUUUGCAAGAUAAAAGUUCUAGAGAUUGUUUUCACAACAAUGUGACUGCAUUUAACCUACUUUAAAAAUGGUUUUAAGUUGGUGAGUUUUUAUGUUAUGUGCAUUUACCAUGAUUUUUUAAAAGAUGUAAUAUAUAUUUUUAAAUUAUUACACGAAAUUGAAGGUCUUAAAGAAAUCUUCAUGCUGUAUUCCUAAAAUGACUCCAAGAGAAAAGAGCUUCCAGAUUAGCAAGGUUUUGCUAAGACCAUGACUAUAUUUUAAUAAUCUAGAACCAUACCCUUGUUAAAUAAAUAUCAGUUGGUAUUUUUAAAAAGUCGUGGCAGAAAACCCGAAAGAAUUGAUAAGAAAACUCCUGGAACCCGGGCUGGGGUUGUGGCUCAGCGGCAAAGCACUCGCCUAGCACAUGUGCGGUGCUGGGUUCAAUCCUCAGCAUCACAUAAAAAUAAAUAAAAAAAAAAUAAAGGUAUUGUGUCCAUCUUUAAAUAAAAAUAUUUUUUAAAAACCCCACUAUUGGGCUGGGUUUGUAGCUCAGUGGUAGAACUCUUGCCUAGCACAUAUGAGGCACUAGGUUCAAUCCUCAGCACCACAUUAAAAAUAAACAAAAUAAAGGUAUUGUGUCCAUACCACAACUUAAAAAAAAUAUUUUUUAAAACCGCUGACAUUAGCACUCUCAAAAUUAAGUACUUGGGUAUAAAUCUAAUAAAAUAUGCAGAAGAGCUAUAUGAAGAAAACUAUAAAAAUCUAAAGAUAUUGCAUGUUUCUGUGCAGGAACACUAUUGUCAAGAUAUCACCUCUUCCCAAUUUGAUCUAGAGAGUCACUGCAAUCUCAAUCAAAAUCUCAGCAAGUAAUUUUGUAGAUAUCAACAAACUAAUUCUAAUAUAUGGAGAGAUAAGACCCAGAAUUGGCAACACAAUACUGAAGGAGAUAAAGUUGCAGAACUAAGUACCCAACAUCAAGAGUUACUAUAAAGCUACAGUAGUCAAAACAGAGAACAGACAUAUAAAUUAAUGGAACAGAAUAUAAAUAUAAGAAUAUAAGCCCAGAAAUAGACCCACUAUAUAUAAUUAGUAUAUA